rnacentral:tRNA from 1 species
GGGGCGGUGCCGCGCAGGCCGCGGCGGUGCUCGCCGCGACCGAGCGGAUCCACGUCGGCAUCGGGAUCCUGCCCGCCGCCGCGC